rnacentral:rRNA from 1 species
GGACCCGCACAAGCGGUGGAGCAUGUGGUUUAAUUCGAUGAUACGCGAGGAACCUUACCAGGGCUUAAAUGGGAGAUGACAGGGGCAGAGACGCCCUUUUCUUCGGACAUCUUUCAAGGUGCUGCAUGGUUGUCGUCAGCUCGUGCCGUGAGGUGUCAGGUUAAGUCCUAUAACGAGCGCAACCCCUACCGUUAGUUGCCAGUGAUUCAAGUCGGGGACUCUAACGGGACUGCCGGUGCAAACCGUGAGGAAGGUGGGGACGACGUCAAAUCAUCACGGCCCUUACGUCCUGGCUACACACGUGCUACAAUGGUCGGUACAGAGGGAAGCUACCCCGCAAGGGGGAUGCGGA